rnacentral:rRNA from 1 species
UACAGAGGGGGCAAGCGUUAUUCGGAAUUAUUGGGCGUAAAGAGCUCGUAGGCGGUCUGUCGCGUCGGAUGUGAAAAUCCAGGGCUCAACCCUGGACCUGCAUUCGAUACGGGCAGACUAGAGUUCGGUAGGGGAGACUGGAAUUCCUGGUGUAGCGGUGAAAUGCGCAGAUAUCAGGAGGAACACCGGUGGCGAAGGCGGGUCUCUGGGCCGAAACUGACGCUGAGGAGCGAAAGCGUGGGGAGCAAACAGG